rnacentral:sRNA from 1 species
AUGAUUGCGAAUGGUCACCUUCAGUGCUGGCUCUAAACAGCAAGUGCACGUUGGUGACUUUCAUCCNAAUACCACCCCUUGUGAACCUUUGCCCUCAUACUAGCUUCGGCUGGCAGAGGAUUUUACAUAUACACUCGAAUGUAAUGAAAACUAUUGUUGUGCACAAGCACUAAUAUACAACUUUCAACAACGGAUCUCUUGGCUCUCGCAUCGAUGAAGAACGCAGCGAAAUGCGAUAAGUAAUGUGAAUUGCAGAAUUCAGUGAAUCAUCGAAUCUUUGAACGCACCUUGCACCCUUUGGAAUUCCAAUGGGUAUGCUCGUUUGAGUGUCAUUGUACUCUCACACUCUCUGAUCCUUUGGAUGUGGGAGUGGUGGACUUGGGUGUUUGCUGCUUUCUUGUGGCUCACCUCAAAUGUGUCAGUGCACCUCUUGGUUGGACAUUGUACGGCGUGAUAAGUGUCUUCGCCCGCACCUCAUAUGAGGGUGGCCGAUCAGGAGCUCUGUGCUCUCAAACUGUCCUUGGACACUUUCUGACAA